rnacentral:rRNA from 1 species
AACGAACGCUGGCGGCAGGCCUAACACAUGCAAGUCGAACGGUAGCACAGAGAGCUUGCUCUCGGGUGACGAGUGGCGGACGGGUGAGUAAUGUCUGGGAAACUGCCUGAUGGAGGGGGAUAACUACUGGAAACGGUAGCUAAUACCGCAUAACGUCGCAAGACCAAAGAGGGGGACCUUCGGGCCUCUUGCCAUCAGAUGUGCCCAGAUGGGAUUAGCUAGUAGGUGGGGUAACGGCUCACCUAGGCGACGAUCCCUAGCUGGUCUGAGAGGAUGACCAGCCACACUGGAACUGAGACACGGUCCAGACUCCUACGGGAGGCAGCAGUGGGGAAUAUUGCACAAUGGGCGCAAGCCUGAUGCAGCCAUGCCGCGUGUAUGAAGAAGGCCUUCGGGUUGUAAAGUACUUUCAGCGGGGAGGAAGGGAGUAAGGUUAAUAACCUUAUUCAUUGACGUUACCCGCAGAAGAAGCACCGGCUAACUCCGUGCCAGCCGCCGCAGUAACAC